GCUUUAAAUAGAAUGGAUUUUGAUUAUCCAUAAUAAUUGCAUAUUUCCAUACAAUGGAUAUACUAUGGAUUUAGUGGUGCAAUUGCAAAUGUCAUAGCAUGGAUUUCACUUUUUUCCCAGUGGCAGAAACACAAAAUGUAAAUAGUAAGAAAGCAUUCUGUAUCACAGCAUACAUGCAGUAAAUGUCUACAUCGUUUAUUAGGAUUUUUUAUGAAGCGUCCUGCUUAUUUUCUCUUGCCGCCUGGCGUAUUUUUUUCUGAUUUUUCAUGUGUCUGGGGACGAUUGUAUAAAAUUCUUAACUUCUUUUUAACUAUACUGUUUUGAUUAAUUAACUUUCGCACUAAACGUAGUUAACUUUAACCACCUUUUUAUACAACCGACUCCACGUGAGUAACAAUUGUACUUUCGUAAAAAAUUGAAGUUCCCACAUUCAUUUUAGUACGGAAAAAUCAUCAUUAAUGUGUGACUUUUCGUUUAGUACCGUUUUAAUUAGGCGCGCGCAUAGAUAUUAAAGUGAAACCACGAGAAUUUAUACGGUCAAUUUCAAAUAACUAUUUAUAAUUAUAUUUUUGCUCCUAUCCUUUUUUCUAAAUUUCUAAAAAGCAUGCAAGCACUAUAUAUUGAUAAAAUUACAUACAUUCAACCAUGCAGGGACAUCGCAAAGCUAGCGGAUGUGUGUUACCGUAAAUCCUCUAUUAAGACCCCUCUAAAAAAGCCACCUCUCUAAUAAUCAAUAUUCUCCCUUCAUAUAUAAAUACAUUAAGUACUUCCUUCUUUAAUAAACGCCCCUCUCCCCACCCCUUUAUAUAUGGAUACAUGUUUACUGCAUGAAUAGAUUUAUUAAUCAGACAAAUUAUCCUGGACGUUUAUGUUAUAGAUUUUAGGUUACCACGUUUAGAUAUCUAGAUCAUAAUGAUAAUACGUCCCACUUUAUCGUUCCCUCCAAUAACCACCCCCUCAACGUACCAUCAGUAAAUUGGGACUUUAAUAGAGGAUUUACUUCACAAACACAUUCAUGUAGUGCAACACACAUAUACAUUUUCACUGACAUUGUCAUUGACACUGCAAUUACGUUUCAGAGGCCUGGUAUACAUACGUUGGAUUCAAAAUUCAAACAAAUUCGCUAUUAAAUCGUUGACUGGUCGAACAAAGCUCUAUUUUAUUUCAAACGUGAAUGCAGUAUUAUAUAAAAU